AGAAGACAGCGCGCUAGCUGUCUAGUCUCUGUAUGUCUAUGGUGGGCACGUCUGGUAGCAUCUCUGGCUGCUGUUGAUCUUGUUUUUGGAGUAAAACACGGUGGAAGCUGAAUUAGUGAGGAUGACUCCUGCUCCUGUCAUCUCUAAGCUCCUCACACAUCUUUACCUGCACAUGAGGAAAAUCACUCCUGUAGAAUGCAGAUGUUCAGAGGGAGAUGAUGCCACAUCUGGUCCAGCUGAUGGAAGGUCUUGAAGUUCUCUGACUGGCCUCGACUGAAGAUGGUCGUCUCACUGGAUUUAAGGUUCAGAUGCUCAGUAACAAACUCCACCAAUGAGCCAACAGGGAAGCUUUAGGUUUAUUAAAUGUUGCUAUGAAGGUAUCGCUGUUUUUCUUUGUGAAUGCAAUGUGCUCCAACUGAAACUUGAAUUAGAACUUAGAAGUAAAUCCUUCCAUCUGAAAGGAUUUAGUUGCAUUAAUAACCUCAUAACAUUCUAAUUUUUAUUCCAGUCUUGGUUGGAAAUAGAAUCUCUGUAUUGAUUCAGGUAAAAACUGAACUUCACAGCAUGUUGAAGCAAAACAACCAGAUGAAAACUGUGAUGGUGUUGGAUUGUCAGACCGUAAUGUUGCAGCUCAAAGCAGCUUUUCUAUCUCAGUUCAUUCUGACAUUCAGCUAUGAAUCAACACAGCAGAUGGUGAUCCAUGCUGUGGAAGUCUCACAUCUCCUGAUUUAAUGGAGCUGCUUUGCACUUUUUACACUGUUUAUUCACCAACACUUUAUUUAAUAAAAGUCCCAUCUAGUUUUUAUGAGGAAUGUGAUGUUUUAAUUUCUCUGUGAAUAACUGCAGUCUAAUGCAACAGCUGGAGUUGUAACAUCUGUCCUGAUAUUGAUCAUGAAGUAUUGAUCAGAAUACUUAUGGUCAGCAGUCAUCCCUGAAGUUUUACAUUAAAAUCUUUACUUGUGUUGUGAACUUUGGUAAGAAGCAGAAACGUUAGCGUUGCCAUGGAUACAUGAGUGUUAAAUUCUGUCCAUGUUUCCAUUUUGGGAAAUGCAGUCCAGUUCCAGAAUGUGGAGGAAUUUAGUCUCACAAUCACAGACAACAAAUAUUAUCUGAAAGUCGGGUUAUUGUUGUUUAUCAGCACAAUACAAAAAGAUUAAUGUUAGAAAUAUUCCAGUUAAGACUCUAGAAUAUCAUGAUUUAUGUAAAUUUACCUCAAUAAUAUGAAUGUUCAGGUUAAGAUUGUACAGUGAUAUUUAUUAUGUAAGUUUAGCUGAUUAAAGUUUAUGACUCUGCACUAAAAUAUUAUUUAAAUUGACAUCAUUAUUAUAAUAUUUAGGGUCAGACCCUACAGUAUUGAGAUUAAGAAAUCAAAUAUUCUAUAAAAUGUAAAUACACUGAACUCAUUUGGAUAUAUUUAAGUGAGACUCUACAAUAUUAUUUGACACAAAUCUAUCUAAAUCAAAAUUUUAAUAAUUUUCAAGCCAAACAUUUACUGGACUGAUUUAAAUAUUAAAAUCACUCCUUUCUAAUCCUCUGCUGUACGUUCAAACCUGAGGCCUUAAAUAGAAACACACAAGUAUCUGAUUGAAGGAACUUCUGCAGAGUCCUGGUUCCAGAACAUGAUGAUAGAAUUAUAGACAAACUUUAACAAAAGCUGCCUGAGAGUUUACAGGUUUUUAUGUUGGAUUUCUUCAGUAAUUUAAUGAGCGUUAUCAGCAAAAAUCAAGUGUUCAUUUGAUGAACUUCAUUUCCUAAAACAUCCAGAAUUGGAGCUCAUAUCUUUGGCAGCUGUAAAGUUUCUGCUCCUUCAAAGUUCACAACACAAUGAAUUAAUUCCUAAAACACUCUCAAUGCUGGAGAGCGUUUGUGAUGCUGAAGCAGUGACCAGUUUUUCUGUUUCUUCUCUGGAGAUGCACAAUGAGGGACGUCUGCAGAGACUGAGAAAGAGUCUCACCACAUCCUGACAUGAGGAAAAAGACUUUAUUGAAGACUACAAUGAGAAAAACUAUCAGACAGCAGACGGCUGCAUUCAAGGUGAGCUCUGAACAUUUGAUCUGGAACAGGAAUUCAAUAACGGCAGCAUGAGCUUCAUUUCAGUCUGUAGCUGCUGAAUUCAUGGAUGAAUCAUCUGGCACUAGAGAAGAAGACCAUCAAACAUCCACGUCAGCUGAUGGAGGUCCAAGAGUCUCACCGAACAAACAACCUACAGAGUGAAGACCUCAAAUCUGAUUGGACGGCCUCCUAUUCAGCCACAUUUUAGGCUGUUAGAUUGUUCCAGAUAAGACAAGUACAAGAUUCUUCAGAGCCGUUCUACCACGAGCCUGACAGGAAGAACUCCAACAGCUACUGAAUGUUCCUGUGGUCCCCUCAAGGCUACAGGAGGAGUCCUACGAGGACGAGCCGGUCCACCUGAUGGCGGCCAGUCGCUGCGGUUCAAAGCCAACACCGACUACGUGGACUUCUACUGGACCACACGGAGGCCUUCAAACCGGACCAACAAGUUCAGCGACUCCCCGACUCGUGGGUCUGAGGACGCCGCCGAGCCUCGGUCCAGCCGGCCUCCUGUCUGUGGGUGUUUGAGUGCUGAGAGGUUUGUGGAUGCAUGUGAACGUGUCUGUGUUGAAACAGCAGCUUUUGACUCAGUAACGCCGGGAAAAACCAAGAGCUCCUUUAUUUGUGACUUCCACUAAAAAAACUGAUGAAAAUAAGUUUGCCAGGGUUCUGACUGAUAACAGAUUAUUAAAUAAUGAAAAUAAUCGUUUAAAUAUUCCUUUAAACAAUCCUUUUAGGUCUACAUUUCCUUUACACUGACUUCUUGGUAUAUGUACAAGUAUUUUGGGUGGAAUAUACCAUUAAGCCCGAUGUUCAAGGGUUCUUCUGGGAAUAUACCAUUAAACCAACCUUUUAGGUAAAUGUUCCAGGAUGUUGGGUAGAAUAUACCAUCAGAUCAACCUUUUAGGUCUACAUUGGAAGAUUUUAGAGUAGAAUAUUACUCCAAACCAUCCUUUAGGUCUACAUUUAAGGUGGAAUACUCCUUUACACCAAGAUUUUUUGGUCUACAUUGAAGGAUUUUAGGUGGAAUAUUCCUUUGAACGAACUUUUUAAGUUUAUGUUCAAGGAUGUUGGGUGGAAUAUACCAUCAGACCAACCUCCAAGGUCUACAGUAGUGAAUUUUAGGUGGAAUAUACCAUUAAACUCACCUUUUAGGUCUACAUUGGAGGAUUUUAGGUGGAAUUUUCUUCCAAACCGUCUUUUAGUCUACAUUUAAGGAUGUUUAGGAUGGUAUAUUCUUCCGAACCAACUUCUCAGGUCUACAUUUCAGGUGGAAUAUUCCUCCAUACUAACUUUUUUGGUCUACAUUGAAGGAUUUUUUCUAAACCACCCUUUCGGGUCUAUAUUUGGGGUUUUAGGUGGAAUAUUCCUUUUAACCAGCCCCUCAGGUCUCUUUGAGGAUUUUGGAUGGAAUACUCGGUUAAACCAACAUUUUAGGUGCAUGUCCAAGGAUUUUUGGUGGAAUGUUCCUUUAAGGUGGAUGUUUGAGGACCUUGUAGGUGGAAUACUUCCUGAAACCAACCUUUUAGGUCAACAUUCAAAGAUUUAAGGUGGAAUAUUCCUUUAAACCAACCUAAAUUUCAUGUUUUGAUCAUUAUCAAGUGAGAAACCUCAAUCCAGACUCCUCAUAAUGACGUUUGAGAUUUAUGCUGCUGUUAUUUGUUUAGUCCAGACUAAAUGACAGAAAUCCACAACUGUAAUUUUAUUUCAGGACUCGGUUAUUAAAUGUCAAAACAAUCCAUGUGACUCUAAAAACUCAACAGCUUUACAAACUCUAAGAUUAAACUCUCCACAAGGAUCCAAAAUAAGUUGGACUUCUACAUGAGAGCUUUAAUUAUUCUUCAUCUACUUCCUGAAAAGUUUGGUCAAUAAAAAAGACAAAAACUAAUAUUUUCAGCUGAACUAAAGACAGACUUUGUGAUUUUUCUGCUCACAUGUUGUGUUGUUGUAAACUUACUCUUUCAAAUAAAUAGCCGCCUAACCCCCUGGAAACCAGCGUUUGUCCUGUUUUUGUGUUGCUCCUCGGCGACCCUAGACAGCCGGGUCGUAAUGUUUUUUGAGCAACACACCAUACUAUGACGUUUUUACAAUGAUGGUUCUACUAUGGAACCAGUUUGACAUGUUCAGGUGUUCUUUGUGUGAAAACUCAGAGAUUUCAGGUAUCAGAAGGUGGUUUUCAACUUUCUUUGUUAACUUUCUGCUUCAACUUUAAACUAAAUUUCCUUCACUAACCCAGCCCUCUGGACUUCCAGUAAGCUGUGUUCCUAUUGGCUGUCCAGGUGGCUGCUUGGUGUUAUCAGGAACACCUGAGCAGCUCAGUGUCUUCCUGCUUUAUUUAGCUGCAGACAAACAUUUCCUCUGCUUCUCUUCACCACUGAACCGGGUUUGGCUCCAGUUGCUUUAGU